GACAUAAAAUUACAUUUCAAUAAAUAUAAUCAGAACAAACAUAGGAAAAAGGAAAAAUGACAAAAACCAUUGAAUAUGAACAAACAGGCAAUUAACACAGAAUCGCAGCUAACAACUUUUUACUCCUUGUUUUUUUUUUUUUUGUUUUUUUUUUGAGACGAGUCUCACUGUCUCCCAGGCUGGAGUGCAGUGGCCCGAUCUCGGCUCACUGCAUCCUCUGCCUCCCGGUUUAAGCGAUUCUCAUGCCUCAGCCUUCUCAGUAGCUGCGACUACAGGCACAUGCCACCAUGCCCAGCUAAUCUUUGUAUUUUUAGUAGAGACAGGGUUUCACUAUGUUGGCCAGGCUGGUCUCCAACCCCUGAGCCACCUCGCCCGACUUCAUUCUACAGUCUUAACAGAAAGCAAUUUCAGAAGUGGUGAUUCCCAUCAUUAGAAGUCUGCGUUAGGAAUCAGCAAGGUAUAGUCCACAGAGUGGUUUUUAUAUUUUGUAAUGGUUGGAGAAAAGUCAAAGAAUAAUAAGAUUUUAUGACAUAAAAUUAUAUAAAAUUCAAAUUUCCAUGUCAAUAAAUGAAGUUUUACUGUUAUUUAUUAAAAUUUCUGAUAUAGCCACA
rnacentral:lncRNA from 10 species